UAGAGUUUGAUCCUGGCUCAGGACGAACGCUGGCGGCAUGCCUAACACAUGCAAGUCGAACGAAUCUUCUCAACUAGCUUGCUAGGCGAGAAGGUUAGUGGCGGACGGGUGAGUAACGCGUGGGUAACCUGCCCAUAAAUCUGGGAUAACUUCGGGAAACCGGAGCUAAUACGGGAUAAUCUCUAGUUUUCGCAUGAAGAGUAGAGAAAAGAUGGCCUCUCGAUGAAGCUAUCGUUUAUGGAUGGACCCGCGUCUGAUUGGCUAGUUGGUGAGGUAAAGGCUCACCAAGGCGACGAUCAGUAGCCGGCCUGAGAGGGUGAACGGCCACACUGGGACUGAGACACGGCCCAGACUCCUACGGGAGGCAGCAGUGGGGAAUCUUCCGCAAUGGGCGCAAGCCUGACGGAGCAAUGCCGCGUGAGUGAAGAAGGCCUUCGGGUUGUAAAACUCUGUCCUAAGGGAAGAAUGUGCCAUAUGUGAAUAAUGUAUGGUAAUGACGGUACCUUGGGAGGAAGCCCCGGCUAACUACGUGCCAGCAGCCGCGGUAAUA
rnacentral:rRNA from 1 species